rnacentral:rRNA from 1 species
GAAGGGUUGCAAGCGUUGUUCGGAAUCACUGGGCUUAAAGCGCACGUAGGCGGAAUUCCAAGUGUCUUGUGAAAUCCCUCGGCUUAACCGAGGAAUUGCUCGGCAAACUGGAAUUCUUGAGGCAAGUAGGGGUACAUGGAACUCUUAGUGGAGCGGUGGAAUGCGUAGAUAUUAAGAGGAACGCCAAUGGUGAAGACAGUGUACUGGACUUGUACUGACGCUGAGGUGCGAAAGCGUGGGGAGCGAACGGGAUUAGAUACCCCGGUAGUCCACGCCGUAAACGAUGUCUACUAGGUUGUGGGAGUUCUGACACUUUCACAGCCGAAGCAAAAGUGUUAAGUAGACCGCCUGGGGAGUACGGUCGCAAAGGCUA